AUAUCCGUUGCCGAGAGUCGUUUUGAAUAAUUCGUAAAGCGCCGACGUCGGGGGCACACCGUGUCCGGGGCCUCCAGCGUGGCUCUCUUGGUUAGAUUUCCUUGGCGCGUUCCGCGCUGGGGUUCGGUUUGCAGGCAGGUCUCCCCGCCCGCAGGGGGGGCGAGGGGGCGACGAGCGCCCCCCGUCGGUUGUAACCAAUUCGCGGGUCGUUCUGCUGUGCAGGUUUCGACAAUGAUCCUUCCGCAGGUUCACCUACGGAAUCGAAUUCCCGCUGCCACA
rnacentral:rRNA from 1 species